rnacentral:rRNA from 1 species
UACAGAGGUCUCAAGCGUUGUUCGGAUUCAUUGGGCGUAAAGGGUGCGUAGGCGGCGCGGUAAGUCUGGUGUGAAAUCUCGGAGCUCAACUCCGAAAUUGCACUGGAUACUGCUCUGCUAGAGGGCUGGAGAGGAGAUCGGAAUUCACGGUGUAGCAGUGAAAUGCGUAGAUAUCGUGAGGAAGACCAGUGGCGAAGGCGGAUCUCUGGACAGCUCCUGACGCUGAGGCGCGAAGGCUAGGGGAGCAAACGGG